GAUGAACGCUGGCGGCGUGCCUAAUACAUGCGAGUCGAGCGAACAGACGAGGAGCUUGCUCCUCUGACGUUAGCGGCGGACGGGUGAGUAACACGUGGAUAACCUACCUAUAAGACUGGGAUAACUUCGGGAAACCGGAGCUAAUACCGGAUAAUAUAUUGAACCGCAUGGUUCAAUAGUGAAAGACGGUUUUGCUGUCACUUAUAGAUGGAUCCGCGCCGCAUUAGCUAGUUGGUAAGGUAACGGCUUACCAAGGCGACGAUGCGUAGCCGACCUGAGAGGGUGAUCGGCCACACUGGAACUGAGACACGGUCCAGACUCCUACGGGAGGCAGCAGUAGGGAAUCUUCCGCAAUGGGCGAAAGCCUGACGGAGCAACGCCGCGUGAGUGAUGAAGGUCUUCGGAUCGUAAAACUCUGUUAUUAGGGAAGAACAAAUGUGUAAGUAACUAUGCACGUCUUGACGGUACCUAAUCAGAAAGCCACGGCUAACCACGUG
rnacentral:rRNA from 1 species